rnacentral:rRNA from 1 species
UACGUAGGGUGCGAGCGUUAAUCGGAAUUACUGGGCGUAAAGCGUGCGCAGGCGGUUUUGUAAGUCAGAUGUGAAAUCCCCGGGCUCAACCUGGGAACUGCGUUUGAAACUACAAGGCUAGAGUGUAGCAGAGGGGGGUGGAAUUCCACGUGUAGCAGUGAAAUGCGUAGAGAUGUGGAGGAACACCGAUGGCGAAGGCAGCCCCCUGGGAUGAUACUGACGCUCAUGCACGAAAGCGUGGGGAGCAAACAGG